GAUGAACGCUGGCGGCGUGCCUAAUACAUGCAAGUCGAGCGAACGGACGAGAAGCUUGCUUCUCUGAUGUUAGCGGCGGACGGGUGAGUAACACGUGGAUAACCUACCUAUAAGACUGGGAUAACUUCGGGAAACCGGAGCUAAUACCGGAUAAUAUUUUGAACCGCAUGGUUCAAAAGUGAAAGACGGUCUUGCUGUCACUUAUAGAUGGAUCCGCGCUGCAUUAGCUAGUUGGUAAGGUAACGGCUUACCAAGGCAACGAUGCAUAGCCGACCUGAGAGGGUGAUCGGCCACACUGGAACUGAGAAACGGUCCAGACUCCUAAGGGAGGCAGCAGUAGGGAAUCUUCCGCAAUGGGCGAAAGCCUGACGGAGCAACGCCGCGUGAGUGAUGAAGGUCUUCGGAUCGUAAAACUCUGUUAUUAGGGAAGAACAUAUGUGUAAGUAACUGUGCACAUCUUGACGGUACCUAAUCAGAAAGCCACGGCUAACUACGUG
rnacentral:rRNA from 1 species